rnacentral:rRNA from 1 species
UACGUAGGGGGCUAGCGUUGUCCGGAAUCAUUGGGCGUAAAGCGCGUGUAGGCGGCCCGGUAAGUCCGCUGUGAAAGUCAGGGGCUCAACCCUCGAAAGCCGGUGGAUACUGUCGGGCUCGAGUACGGAAGAGGCGAGUGGAAUUCCUGGUGUAGCGGUGGAGUGCGCAGAUAUCAGGAAGAACACCAACGGCGAAGGCAGCUCGCUAGGACGGUACUGACGCUGAGACGCGAAAGCGUGGGGAGCGAACAGG